rnacentral:rRNA from 1 species
UACGUAGGGGGCGAGCGUUGUCCGGAUUUAUUGGGCGUAAAGAGCUCGUAGGCGGUCUGUCGCGUCUGUUGUGAAAACUCGAGGCUCAACCUCGGGCUUGCAGUGGAUACGGGCAGACUAGAGUGCGGUAGGGGAGACUGGAAUUCCUGGUGUAGCGGUGGAAUGCGCAGAUAUCAGGAGGAACACCGGUGGCGAAGGCGGAUCUCUGGGCCUGUUCUGACGCUGAGGCGCGAAAGCUAGGGGAGCGAACAGG